rnacentral:tRNA from 1 species
AAAUAAUGAAGUAAUAAUUACAAAUAGUUUCGACCUAUUGAUAGAGCUACUUAAACUCCUUAUU